CUGCGCCUGGUCAACGGGGUGCUGGUCGACCGCAUCGGCCCCAAGAAGACCGGGAUGAUGGGUCAGCUGAUCGUACUGGCCGGCCUGGUCC
rnacentral:tRNA from 1 species